rnacentral:lncRNA from 1 species
AGGAAGAUUACAAGAAUUAAACACACAACUGAAAUUAAAUAUAUCAAAGUACAAUACGUGAAAUUUAAAAAUACAAUUAGAAAAUACAAAUUACAUAUUUAAUUGUCAGUGCCAAAUUUUUCCCAUAUGUGCUCAAUCAAAUCACCUUGAAGAGUCCUAUGAGCUUCUCUAUUGCGAAGUUGAUCUCUAUUAGUCAUAUAAGUAGACAAGCUCACAAUACGUUCAGUAGAAUAGCGAAAAUGUUCGUCAUCUUCUGUUUGUACUCUUGUAGGUGUAUCCAUAAAAAAUUCUGUUGGAUCAUAAUAAUUUUGGUAGGUGUCUCGUUCGUCCUCGACUAUCAUAUUAUGCAUGAUGAUACAAGCC